ensembl:snoRNA SNORA70 Small nucleolar RNA SNORA70
CUGUAGCCACUUAAGCUGAUCAGGUUCCUUUCCUCAUGGGGUCCUGGUGUGCCAUGGCUGCACAUAGCAGCCUCCUUGGUAGUAUACAUAACCUGUUGCUUGUACAGGUUGCUGAAAAGGACCUUGGAGACAGUU